GAGCCCUGAUGUUAAUCUGCAAACCUUAAGUGCCUCAUAUGCACCUCAUGAUGGUUUCUACACUUGAACUGAGCUCA
rnacentral:snoRNA from 1 species